rnacentral:lncRNA from 1 species
UUUAUAAUUAAAAUUUUUAGUAUAAAGAUUAUAGAAACAAAUAAAAACAUGAGCUAUCAUGUAAAGCAGAAGAUAGUUUUGAAAGUAAUGGUCCAUGAUUAAGAAGCUAAGGAAAAGCACAGUGGUUUUGGCAAUGUGACUGAUACAGCAAUUCUAGUAAAACAACCAAGAUAAAAAAUUGGAUCCCAUAGGAUUUCAAGUGUUGCUAUGUGGUCCUGGCUAUUUUGGAACUCGCUAUGUAGACCAGGCUGGUCUCAAAUUCCAAAGAUCCUCCUGCCUCUCAAGUGCUGUGAUUAAAAGAAAUCCUUUUAUAUUUGCUUACAAUAUUGUCUCAUGUACCCCAGGCUGGCAUCCAACUCUAUAUGCAGGGCCUGCUUGAACCCUGAUCCACUGUGCUACCAUGCCAGGGAUAUAGCAUAAGUGUUUAUGACUUAAAAGGAUGUGACUUUAACACUGCCAAAGACAGGGAGGGAAUUGAAACACCAUUCUAUUACCUCAACUGCUCCAGCUGGUCCAGCAGGGUCUUAUUAUAUAUAUAGCCCAGCCGUCAAUCAUGUAGCCACGCUUGGCCUACUGGCAGUCUUCCUUGUCUUAGCCUUCCACGUACUAAGAUCACAAGCCACCAAAUCAGGCAGUGACUGAGAUCUUGAUGCUAAUUUCCUAUAAACUUUAACUUUCCAUUAAUUUA